rnacentral:rRNA from 1 species
UACGUAGGGUGCGAGCGUUGUCCGGAAUUAUUGGGCGUAAAGAGCUCGUAGGCGGUCUGUCGCGUCUGCUGUGAAAACUCGGGGCUUAACCCCGGGCCUGCAGUGGGUACGGGCAGACUAGAGUGCGGUAGGGGAGACUGGAAUUCCUGGUGUAGCGGUGAAAUGCGCAGAUAUCAGGAGGAACACCGGUGGCGAAGGCGGUUCUCUGGGCAUGUCCUGACGCUGAGGAGCGAAAGUGUGGGGAGCGAACAGG